ensembl:lncRNA
CAUUUGCUUUGCUUCAUCAGUUCGAUGGCGUCAUUGACUUGGUCCAAAGUCAUGUUGUGAGUGAUGAACUCGUCCAACUUCACCUUCUUAUCCAUGAAGGCUUUAACCAUCUGUGGCACGCCAUCCUUACUCUUAAAUCCUGAAAUAAGAACAGAGUGUCUCCUCCAGAAGCCAUAAGAAAGCAGUGGCACAUAUGCUUUUUAACACAGAUUCAUCAGUCGGUGGAAAAGAUUUUAUUUGUCUCACCUCCAAACAGGGAUCCCUUCCAUGUACGUCCAGCAAUGAGCUGAAUGGGACGAGCAGCAAUGUCUUGCAUACUUGUCACGCCAACAAUCACGGAAACACCCCAACCUUUGACACAAGACUCCAAAGCACUGCGCUGGAUGGAGAAACAGCACAAAGUCAGUGGACUUGUAACCAGUUUGGUACUGGUCCAAAACUAGUGAAAGACAAGCUGAGACAAUGUUGACUGGGUAAUAUGAUGAAUCACUUAGCUUUUAAAUAACUACUGCAACGAGCAAAUAAAUGUUGUUUACUCUGAUCAUAAUAAAGGUUACAUUACAAACAUGUCCAAAAUUAGUGAUACCUUUCCACUGAAUGUCAUUGCCAGUAAUUGGUAUUCACCAUUUUCCAAUACAUAUUUACUAUAAAGGACACUUUGGUUUUACUUUUCAUUUACCAUUGUUAUGAAUUGAUAUGUUUUUUUUUCUUGAACAAAAACCAGGUCACAGCUCACUCUGUUCAUCAGGUAGAUCAGCUGCACCUGUGUGAAGUAGAGCUCAGCUGUGAGCUGUUGGCAAUCAGCCCUGCUGGGAGACUAUAUGAGAGGUUUUUGACUCUCAUCUUAGGUGGUGAGGGUGGUUCAGAAGGUUCUGCACCAUCAGUGGACUAGUUUUGGCAAUACUGAGUUGGAGAAUCUGAAUGUGAGAAUCAAGUUAUUUUUUGCUUUUCUUUUUUUCAGAUAACCCCUAACAAAACUAGUGACUCCCACAUAAAUUGUGUUUUGGGUCAUAAAUUUUACUUGUUCUAUCCUUUUGAUAAGAUUCAGUGUACAGUAAUUGGCACAAAUCUCAAUAUCACCUUUUAGAAAAAUGAAGACCCAUUUUUAUUUUCAAACCUAUUUUGAGUGCAGUUUUUGUUAGUUUCCCCAUUUACAACCUUAGAUAUUUUUUGCUGUGUUCUGGGGGGAGGAAACGUAAUACCGUCCAUCAGCUAUAUCUGAAUAUUGUGCACAUUAUAGUCAUUCUGCCUCACCAUGACUCCCACAUUUCCAGCGCAUUCAAAGGAGUAGUCCACUCCUCCAUCGGUCAUCUCAAUCAGCACCUCAUGGAUGGGUUUAUCGUGAUCUUUGGGGUUGAUGAAGUCAGUAGCACCAAACACCUUGGCCUUCUCAAACUUCUCCGGAUUGAUGUCAACAGCUAUAAUUCUCUUUGCUCCUGCAGCAAAACAGCCCAUGACUGCAGCCAAACCCACAGCUCCCAGACCGAACACAGCACAUGUAGAUCCUGGUUCAACCU